rnacentral:rRNA from 2 species
GUCGUAGUCCGGAUUGGAGUCUGCAACUCGACUCCAUGAAGUCGGAAUCGCUAGUAAUCGCAAAUCAGAAUGUUGCGGUGAAUACGUUCCCGGGCCUUGUACACACCGCCCGUCACACCAUGGGAGUGGGUUGCACCAGAAGUAGAUAGCUUAACCUUCGGGAGGGCGUUUACCACGGUGUGAUUCAUGACUGGGGUGAAGUCGUAACAAGGUAACCCUAGGGGAACCUGGGGUUGGAUCACCUCCUUA